AAAUAGCUGUCGCACUAAAAGUAAGGGCUCCACUCGGGGGGACGCUGGCUUCUCCCAGGACUGGUGAUGGAGUGGCCUGUGAUGUCAGGGUUCAGCCGAAGUCCAAAUCAAAAGGACCCUAAGAAACCGGCCCUAGAUGAAUUGUGUUCCAAAAGCGGCUUGGUGUUCAACCUCCCAAGGCUGGUCCGGGAAGAACGAGGGAAUGGUGGAAGCCCUAACCAGAACUAAGAACGAAAAGUAGCAAAAGUGAAGAAGAAAUGGCAAUUUCUCGAUUUCCCUGGUGCUUUAUAAUGAGCUUUCGGUUCAUUGCUUCUCAGCACCGACCAGGGAGGACUGCUUCACAUGAGCCUCAGCAGAGGUUGAGGACAAAUGAAGACCCCAGGCUUGGUGGCCUCCUGAACCUUCGGAGCAUCCUCAGCAGGGACGAGUCGAUGUGCACACGCUCUGAAUGUUCUCCUCCCCUAAGGUCUAUCGUCCAGGCCUGUGCCUUCCUCACGAGUUUCCUUCCAGUCAGAUGAAAGGAAGAAGGCAAAUCUAUCUGCUCCUUUCAAGAUGUCAAGGGCAAGGGCUUCUAGCAUCUCCUGGAAGGCAUUUCUUGACCACUGUCAGGAGGGUUUCCCUGCCCCUGGUCUGUUGCAGUUCAUAGGCUCCCAAGUCUCAGAAUAAUGGAGGACAGGCAGGUGGGGUAUCAGCCCCACAGAGACCCAUCCCCUGAGAAUAAGACAACCCAAAUGCGUAGGGGCUCAGGAGUGGGCGUGUUUCAAGAGGUCCAGGGUUGGGCACCACUGGGUCAGAGCACAUUCCUGCUGGGCCCUGCCCGCCUCUUGAGAGUGGAAAUCUCAUGGAGCAUCAGCCUUCCCCAGCCUCCGCCAUGUGUCCCCACCCCAUGCCUCUGCCUCUGCGUGUGAAAUAAACUCGAUUCUCUCU